CCUGCUAGAUGGGCAGUCGCUCGAUUUCGCGAAGUUCUGCGGAGUUGGGAGGAAAGUCCGGUCUCCAUAGGACAGCAUGCCGGCUAACGGCCGGGGGGAUCCGCUGAAGCGGAUUUUACGGAAAGUACCACAGAAAAUAUACCGCCGGCCGUCGCGCGUUCGCGUGUGAGCGGCAGGUAAGGGUGAAAUGGUGCGGUAAGAGCGCACCGCGGGCGGAGCAAUUCGUCCGGCAGGGUAAACCCCAUGCGGAGCAAGACCAAAUAGGGGAGAAGGGGCGGUCCGCUCCGUUUUGACUCCCGGGUAGGUCGCUAGAGCCAGCCAGUAAUGUCUGGCCCAGAUGAAUGACUGUCGCCUCGCAAGAGGUACAGAAACCGGCUUACAGUCGGCAGGCCUG
rnacentral:RNase_P_RNA from 1 species